UCCAUAACCCGGUCAAUUAAACAACACCAAAUUUAUCUCGAAACGAUCCAACAGUGUUCAGCCCUUAGGUAAUCUGUUGUUUAACUUCCUCUCUUGCUCUCUCUAAUCAAAACAUUCUAAUGUUUACCUACCACCCUACAUGGGCACAUUCGAUAAUAACCUUUCUAACUAUUUGUUCUCCAAUCGUACUCGUGGUUAUAAACUUCCCUAAGCCGGACUCUCUAACAACAGUGCCUCCAGUUCUAUCAGUUCUACUCCGUUCGGACGUUUUGACUAGUAUAAAUUUAGUACGUCGUUCUGUUAUGGUGAUUUAUACGACAACUUGAAUUA
rnacentral:rRNA from 1 species